GUGUCCGUAAUAACUGAAAAGAGAAGGGGUGGUGCAUUGAAUAACAGGGUGUGGCACCAGAUCACAAAGCGGUCCGGAGAAUGUAGACUGCACCGCUCCUGUAUGUUUUUGCAGGUUUGCAACGUUUAAAAGUUCAGGGGAAAGUAUAUGCCUGUCUUCUGGGGUUGCUUAAAACAACAGCCUUUUGAGGGAGUGUUGUUUCUGAAUAUUAGUGUUGAGGGCCAAUAAUGCUUACUAUCAUACAUUAUUCACCAUGUCUGUGGACACAUUUGUAAGCAGUCACAUGUUAAUAUAUCCCCCCCCCCCCCCCCGUGAUAAUAUCUCACUCUGAACUCAGUUCAAAACUUGAGAGCCCUGUUUCCGUUGACUCCCGAGCUGCCCUAGCCCAAGCUAAAUCGUACAAUGAAUGGUUUAUUCUAUAUGAUUUGUAUUCUGUCAAUUUCUCUCGCACCACCCGUAUCAGGAAACAUUUGCCUUGGAACCCCUUUGGUAAUAACUAUACAAUGUAAAAACAUUUCAACCGGAGAUGGAUAUUAUGAAUACCCCUGGUCUCUGCCUCCGGGUAAAGUGUGUAAAGAUCUUGAAGUCUACGCCGACAAUCAGCCGAUACUACUGGCCCAACAUCCUAACGCAACACUCCCUAAACUAACACAGUGUCGAAACCUGACUGUGAGAUGCAUCUACGAAAUGAAUGGCACUGUAAAUGUGGAUGAGAUGUGCAGGGAAUUUGUCACCGAUUCAGAUGCUUCCUCUUUAUCAGAGCCAGAAAGACCUAAACAACAGUUAAACAACACAAGUGAACAGACUGACGUGGACUCAGUGAAAAAUGAACCAUCACCCACGGAUCAAAGUACCCAGCCAGCUGCGUUUUGGAUUACUGUUGUUGGGCCGGUGGUGGUGUUGGCGGUGGUGGGCGCAGCGUGGUGGUGUGUACGAAAAAAGAAACCGAUGCCAACCCAGAACCAAGGACUGGAGUUAACUGAAAUGAACAGACCCGACGAUGGUGAUCAGACACCAUCAGGACAUGGGGACACGACUGAAGACGGGGCUCUCCCUGAGAAGACAACUGAGAAACCGAAGAGCAAUCACUGUUACGUGGAACUGAUGAGACGGAAAACCUGCUGGAAUGGAGAUUGUAAAGAUUGAGGGCGAGGUAUAGCCUGGGUAUACCCAUGCUGCCAUGCGCGAGAUUUCAUUUUGCCCUGCUAGGCAGCCUGGAUUCCAUGGAUCCGAUGUUCGCUUCAGGGAGGGAACCAGGGCGAGGGGACAGCUAGACGAUGACGACGUCUUUGCCACACUCCAAAGCUUGUACUUUGUUCAUAUCUAUGGAUCCAACAUGGUUGCAAAUGCAAAGUUGCCUUUCGAUGCAGCCUUAGAUAGUGUUCUAAGUAGUUAAGAACGCAAGAUGGUUUAAUUGAUACGAUGGUUUAAUUGAUACGAUUGGCUAUGAGCUACGUACAAACGCAUUUGAUAGACAUUCGUAAACACUCUGGGCAUUCGUAAACCACGCCUUAAAUACGAGAAAAUUAAUGUGUGGUUCCCAGACCAAAUCUCAAUGUAGAUUGAGGUGAGGUCUGGUGUUAGCCAGGAUUGUUGAAGUAUGCAAUUAUAUGAAAAUAGUACAAUGGUAUAGGAGAGACUUAUAUUCACAUGAGAAAGAUAUUUAGCUUUCUAAGUUUAGAUUUAGCUUUCUGCUAAAUCUUAAGUACAUUGCACUUUCUAUAAUGCAUUCUUCAAGAUUUGCAUGUAAAUUAAAAAAAUAUGUAUUAUAAAGUUAAUGAGGGCUGGCAAAUGUCCAGUUGGAAAGUUGUAAAUAUAUACAAAGGAACUCAAACAAUUUGAGGGAGGGUGGGGGCUUGCAACAGUGAGAGACCAUGUUAGGAGUUACUCAAUCUUUGGGGUGGGAUGGGACAUUUUUGCGUAGGUAGAGCUUUCAGAAAUUACUGUGCAGGGUUUCAUUUCUGUUUACAUUGAAACACCUUCUUCAUGAAAUGCAUUCAGAGAUGGAAUUGCUGUUUGAACUUUGCUUACUGUGACUUGUGAGAGUCAGCCCACAGUGUGAAGUCUUACAGCCUGCCGUCUGAUACAGCCUUUUGUAUUUCUAUUUAUUUUAGAGGAGCUCUGGUAGUCUAGUUUUCCCAGCUUUAUUUUGUAGUUUAGUCUUGAUGUUGUUUUGGUAGUUUAAGAGCUACUGCUGGGUCCUACGGCCUACAGCGGUUGGCCUAGUAGUUCAUCCAACUUUUUGUUCUGUUUCAACCCAUGCACACGCUCUCACGCCACACUUCGUGCUCUUUCCUACAUUAUCAAUUGCUUAUGUCUAGAGCUGUCAGUUAAACGCGUUAUUAACGGCGUUAACGCAAACCAAAUUUAACGGCUUUACAUUUUUUAUCGCGCGAUUAACGCAAUUAUUUUAUAAAAAAUAAUAAUAAAAAAAAAAAUAAAUAAAAAAAAUCUUUGGCUCAAAACAAAGAAGCAGUAGCCUGACUGCUAUGUUCAAAUGACAUUUGUUCAAAGCAGUCGUUUAAUUGCACUAUAGGCUCUUUUUUUUGUAUCGUCCUGUUUUGAUCAGUGUAUAUGCCAAUGUUGUUAUCAAUAAAAAAUCAUUUGCACAAGGCAAGCCGAUGCACUUCACCAUGUUGAUAAGAGAAUUAAAAUGAGAAGAAUUAUGGGACAAAAAAAUCAAGGGAUAUUUAGCAUAGAAAAAUAAUUCGCGAUUAAUUAGAGUUAACUAUGACAUUAAUGCGAUUAAUCACGAUUAAAUAUUUUAAUCGCUUGACAUGUUGAUCAAAAUGUAUUGGAAUGGUCUCUAUGGAAUAGUCUCACCCCCACAACAUUUAGGUAUUAGUUCAUUGCAUAAGUCUUUAUGCAAAAUGGUUGAACAAGUUGUUAUAAUAUGUCAAGCAUAUUUUUUUAUACAUUUCUAUACACUGGCAUUAGACUCUUUUUUUUGUUAUUUUUUCUAAAUAUGUCCUGAAUUGGUCAAUUGCUACCAGGUGAAUCUUGACUUUCUCUAAAGAAGGGAAAUGUGUGAAGUGUUAGAUCAACCAACAAUCAACCAGUUCUGGCAUAGCUCAAAGGUGCAUCACCUGAACCAUGAAAUGGCAAAUAUAUAUAGCUGGAGCACAACACAAUGUUACACGAAUUUGUGGCCCAACAGACAGGAACUGCAU
rnacentral:lncRNA from 1 species